AACUUUACAACGAGAGUAGAACCUCAGAGUUCUGAACACCAGAGUUACAAACUGACUGGUCAACAACACAACUCCUUUGGAACUGGAAGGAUGCAAUCAGGAAGCAGCAGAGAUUGAAAAAAACAUUUAAAAAAAUAAA